UACGUAGGGCGCAAGCGUUGUCCGGAAUUAUUGGGCGUAAAGAGCUCGUAGGCGGCCUGUCGCGUCUGCUGUGAAAUCCCGGGGCUCAACCCCGGGCGUGCAGUGGAUACGGGCUGGCUGGAGGCAGGCAGGGGAGAACGGAAUUCCUGGUGUAGCGGUGAAAUGCGCAGAUAUCAGGAGGAACACCGGUGGCGAAGGCGGUUCUCUGGGCAUGUCCUGACGCUGAGGAGCGAAAGUGUGGGGAGCGAACAGG
rnacentral:rRNA from 1 species